rnacentral:lncRNA from 1 species
UUGUAUACUGUGGAUUCAUUUUUAUUCGUGGUAUACCAAUUUUCGUGGGUUUCGAGGGUCACAGCGAACCACGAAUUUAAGAAUUCAACGAAGAAUAAUCCCGAUAAAAAUGUGUAUGGAGUCGGAUGUUUAUUUCCGGUUAUGUUAUGCAGUUCUAGUAUAGUGUUGAACUAGCGAUAAACAUUGUAACAUAACACGUGUUUUUUAUUAAAAGAAGAUACAAGUAUUUUAAUUAAAUCAAUAAUAAAUAUAUCGAAUAUCAGUGAUAAUUUACUUUUUAAAAUUGAUUAAAACUGUUCAUGGAAAAUAACUGCAAGUUGUUAAUUACCGUGUCAUAGUUUGGUUUACUAGUGAUUGAAAAUCAAUAGGAUUAAGUACGGGGAUAUUGCCCGUAGGUAAUAUUGUUUAUGACAGGAACAUUUAUUUUCACACCUUUUACUUAUAUGACUGUUUAUUAUAUCGUGAUUAGGGAAAUGAGCUUUCAAUCAUAAAGUUUUGAUUGCCUUAUAGAAUUCCGACAAGCAUUUAUAAAUUGUAAAACAAACAAAUAAUUAGUUGUCUUUGUCCAUUAUUGUAAUAGAAGUUUUGAAUGAACACUUUAACCUAAAAUGACCAAGCGAGGAUUUUGACAAUUCAAAACUUUUUCAAUGAAUUCCUUCUUUUUUGUUUGUUUUAUUAUUGAUCAAACCAAGGAGGUUAAAUGAUCAACUAAAUCAAAAAGAAAUCCACGAAUUACGUAUCAGAAUAUUUUUUUUUGUAAUCAGCGAUCCACGAAUAUACGUAUACCACGAAACGUCUUUUUUUCUCUAUCCACGAAAAUUGAUACCCACG